rnacentral:rRNA from 1 species
UGGGGAAUUUUGGACAAUGGGGGCAACCCUGAUCCAGCAAUGCCGCGUGUGUGAAGAAGGCCUUCGGGUUGUAAAGCACUUUUGUCCGGGAAGAAAUCCCCUGCCCUAAUACGGCGGGGGGAUGACGGUACCGGAAGAAUAAGCACCGGCUAACUACGUGCCAGCAGCCGCGGUAAUACGUAGGGUGCGAGCGUUAAUCGGAAUUACUGGGCGUAAAGCGUGCGCAGGCGGUGAUGUAAGACCGAUGUGAAAUCCCCGGGCUCAACCUGGGAACUGCAUUGGUGACUGCAUUGCUCGAGUAUGGCAGAGGGGGGUGGAAUUCCACGUGUAGCAGUGAAAUGCGUAGAGAUGUGGAGGAAUACCGAUGGCGAAGGCAGCCCCCUGGGCCAAUACUGACGCUCAUGCACGAAAGCGUGGGGAGCAAACAGGAUUAGAUACCCUGGUAGUCCACGCCCUAAACGAUGUCAACUAGUUGUUGGGGAUUCAUUUCCUUAGUAACGUAGCUAACGCGUGAAGUUGACCGCCUGGGGAGUACGGUCGCAAAGAUUAAAACUUAAAGGAAUUGACGGGGUCAUAGCUGUUUCCU